rnacentral:tRNA from 1 species
GUGCCCGUAGCUCAACUGGAUAGAGCGUUAGCCUCCGGAGCUGAAGGUUACAGGUUCAACUCCUGUCGGGCAUA